UACGGGGGGAGCAAGCGUUGUUCGGAUUUACUGGCGUAAAGGGCGCGUAGGCGGUCAGCACAAGUCAGUUGUGAAAUCUCCGGGCUUAACUCGGAAAGGUCAACUGAUACUGUGCGACUAGAGUGCAGAAGGGGCAACUGGAAUUCUCGGUGUAGCGGUGAAAUGCGUAGAUAUCGAGAGGAACACCUGCGGCGAAGGCGGGUUGCUGGGCUGACACUGACGCUGAUGCGCGAAAGCCAGGGAGCGAACGGG
rnacentral:rRNA from 1 species